rnacentral:rRNA from 1 species
UACGUAGGCAGCAAGCGUUGUUCGGAAUUACUGGGCGUAAAGAGUGUGUAGGUGGUGAACUAAGUCUGUCGUGAAAUCUCCCGGCUCAACUGGGAGGGUGCGCCGAAUACUGAAUGACUUGGAGUGCGGGAGAGGAAAGUGGAAUUCCUGGUGUAGCGGUGAAAUGCGUAGAUAUCAGGAGGAACACCGGUGGUGUAGACGGCUUUCUGGACCGUAACUGACGCUGAGACACGAAAGCGUGGGUAGCAAACAGG